UAGGGAAUCUUCCACAAUGGGCGAAAGCCUGAUGGAGCAACGCCGCGUGUGUGAUGAAGGGUUUCGGCUCGUAAAACACUGUUGUAAGAGAAGAAUGACAUUGAGAGUAACUGUUCAAUGUGUGACGGUAUCUUACCAGAAAGGAACGGCUAAAUGCGUGCCCG
rnacentral:rRNA from 1 species